rnacentral:rRNA from 1 species
CCUACGGGCGGCUGCAGUGGGGAAUAUUGGACAAUGGGGGCAACCCUGAUCCAGCCAUGCCGCGUGUGUGAAGAAGGCCCUCGGGUUGUAAAGCACUUUCAGUGAGGAAGAACGCCUGGUGGUUAAUACCCAUCAGGAAAGACAUCACUCACAGAAGAAGCACCGGCUAACUCCGUGCCAGCAGCCGCGGUAAUACAGAGGGUGCGAGCGUUAAUCGGAAUUACUGGGCGUAAAGCGCGCGUAGGUGGCUUGAUAAGCCGGUUGUGAAAGCCCCGGGCUCAACCUGGGAACGGCAUCCGGAACUGUCAAGCUAGAGUGCAGGAGAGGAAGGUAGAAUUCCCGGUGUAGCGGUGAAAUGCGUAGAGAUCGGGAGGAAUACCAGUGGCGAAGGCGGCCUUCUGGACUGACACUGACACUGAGGUGCGAAAGCGUGGGUAGCAAACAGGAUUAGAUACCCUUGUAGUC